AUUGAACGCUGGCGGAAUGCUUUACACAUGCAAGUCGAACGGCAGCACGGGUGCUUGCACCUGGUGGCGAGUGGCGAACGGGUGAGUAAUACAUCGGAACGUACCCAGUCGUGGGGGAUAACGUAGCGAAAGUUACGCUAAUACCGCAUACGUCCUGAGGGAGAAAGCGGGGGACCGUAAGGCCUCGCGCGAUUGGAGCGGCCGAUGGCGGAUUAGCUAGUUGGUGGGGUAAAGGCCUACCAAGGCGACGAUCCGUAGCGGGUCUGAGAGGACCGCCCGCCAAACUGGAACUGGGACACGGUCCAGACUCCUACGGGAGGCAGCAGUGGGGAAUUUUGGACAAUGGGCGAAAGCCUGAUCCAGCCAUUCCGCGUGAGUGAAGAAGGCCUUCGGGUUGUAAAGCUCUUUCGGCAGGGAAGAAACGGCUUGGGAUAAUACCCCGGGUUAAUGACGGUACCUGAAGAAGAAGCACCGGCUAACUACGUGCCAGCCGCCGCAGUAA
rnacentral:rRNA from 1 species